rnacentral:rRNA from 1 species
CCUACGGGAGGCAGCAGUGAGGAAUAUUGGUCAAUGGCCGUACGGCUGAACCAGCCAAGUCGCGUGAAGGAAGAAGGAUCUAUGGUUUGUAAACUUCUUUUAUCGGGGAAUAAAGGUAUCCACGUGUGGCUAUUUGCAUGUAACCUAUAAAUAAGCCUCGGCUAACUCCGUGCCAGCAGCCGCGGUAAUACGGAGGAUGCGAGCGUUAUCCGGAUUUAUUGGGUUUAAAGGGUGCGUAGGUUGUUUUUUAAGUCAGCGGUGAAAGUUUGUGGCUCAACCAUAAAAUUGCCGUUGAAACUGGAAGACUUGAGUGUGUUUGAGGUAGGCGGAAUGCGUGGUGUAGCGGUGAAAUGCAUAGAUAUCACGCAGAACUCCGAUUGCGAAGGCAGCUUACUAAGCCAUAACUGACACUGAAGCACGAAAGCGUGGGGAUCAAACAGGAUUAGAUACCCGGGUAGUC